UCCGAUAGGGCAUUACAGCUACCAAAAUGAAAGUUCCGAAUAAGGGGGUAUGCUAAAGAGGGAAAAUUUGCGCCAUUGCCAAAAAACCGUUGAACUGUUUAAGUGAUUUCGAAGUGUAAGGUAUUUUACAGUUAAAACUUCUAAAUGACAAAAUUAAUUUAAAACACACCCACCUUACAGCAUGUACCAAAAACGACACAAAACGAGACAGUUAAAGUUAGACAAAACAUUUGACCAAAAACGUUAAUAUUUAUGUAAGUAAUCAGACAAAUUUUGUAAAGACAACUCUGUUUAAAGUCAAGUACCAAUUACAGUUUCCCCCUGAGGAAGACACUAUCCCCGUGUCGAAACGUCGGGUGAAUAAUAAAACUCGUUUUUUGAACCCUAAGACUGCGUAGCCGUUAAUCUAUAGAGUCAAGAUUACAGUCGAUUCCCAACAGCAAUAUUCUCAAUGGCAGCUAUACAGCACUCCUUUUUCCGGUACAUUGAUGAAAACUUCGGUCACCUUACAGUGGACGCAAUGAAAAAGUACGCGUCCGGCAACAGAAAACUGGCAAACCUAGAAAACCGGAAAUCAUUCCUCAUCCGGUGCAGGCGACAAGGCGUUUUCCCCGCACACAUCGUCAACUCUUUCAAGUGUGUGCACGAGCUUUUAGCGGACAACGGGCCGUAUAUCAAUAAGAUCGACAGGACUAUCAACCGAUUCAAAAAGGCCAUCCUGAACCUGGAAAUCAAACAGACCUUCUACAAGAUGCAGCAGAUCACGCAGGAGCUGAAUACCAUCAAAUGCCACAUUCAAACCCUAACCAGUGAAAGCGUGACGGACGAGUACCUGUCUACCCAGCGGAUGGCAUACAACAACUGGUUGAAUCGGCAGAACGGGCGCACAGCAAGAAAGCUCACAAACAUGCUGCAAACUCCAAACAGCAACGAGGAGCCCACAUACAACGAACACGCAAUCCUCAACGCGACGGAGUUAGAGGUGCCGGCGAACGUUCUGCACUUACUGAGUCUUGGUCCUAGAUUCGCACUACCCACUACAUCGCUAGCGCAAGUACCAUUCUACCACCUUUUUGCUGAUGUGGAAGGAGUCUUGCUCACCAAUACCGACAAGGACGUGCAGGACAGAAACCGUUGUAGAAUCGUGAAUGUAACGUUAAAUUUCAUUCACGGUUUUCACUCGAUGGUGGAGGUGCGUGAUCCCACGACCAAGUUUUGCGUAGCUGCUUCCAAUGAGACAAAAAGCUAUCUACGAGAACACCCCGAGAUCUGCGUCUUGUCUGCCGACAAAGGUAACAGGACCGUCAUCAUGAUGCGGGAGGAUUAUGACCAAAAAAUGCGAGCAUUGGUGAGCGACACAACAACAUACCAAAAGGUACGAGCAGACCCCACAUCUAGUUACCAAAAGGGGAACAACAGCAUAGUCAAAAGACUUCAAAACCUGAAGCUUAUUGACUACAGAACGGCUCGCGAACUGGCCUCAAACAACGCUAUUUGCCCUAGGAUAUACGGCCAGCCAAAGUCCCACAAACAAAACCUUCCACUCCGUCCGGUAAUCCCCAACAUAACUGCCCCAACAUACAAGCUGGCUAGGUAUGUUGCUAACAUCCUCCAAUCAUCACUUCGCAGUCAGUACAGCACAUACAGCUCGUUCGAUUUCUGCAAGGAAGUUAACGGUUUCAAAAUUCCCGAAGGCUACAUAAUGAUUUCCCUCGAUGUCACUUCACUGUUCACCAAUGUACCACGGCACCUGGUCAUUAGGAACAUAAUUGAACGGUGGAACGAAGUGACAACAGAAAUCAACCUGGAUCUAUUCUUGGAAAUAGUGGAGUAUUGCAUGGGGGCGAGCUACUUCUGCUUUGAAGGACAAUUCUUUAAACAAACAUAUGGAACAGCCAUGGGAAGCCCACUCUCGCCAAUUGCUGCAGAUAUCGUCCUAGACUCAGUCAUUACUAAAGCUAUGAGCUCUCUACCUUUCGAGACUACAAUCUUUUGGAAAUACGUGGACGAUAUCUUUAUGGUAAUCCCGCGGAACACUGAGCAGCAGGUGCUCGACGCAUUCAAUGGCGUAGAACCUAGGCUGCAGUUCACCAUUGAGACCGAACAGGAUGGCAAACUUGCGUUUUUGGACAUGACCGUCAUAAGAAACCCGGACCAGACCUUAACGACGGAAUGGUACGCCAAGCCCAUCGCUUCAGGGAGAAUGCUGAAUUACAAGUCGUUCCAUCAGCCGAAACACAAAAUGAAUGUGGCGAAAAAUUUCAUUCAUAGGGUUUGCUCACUCACACAAAACAAAUCCAUGGAUGAAAUAACGACAAUAAUCCAUCAACACCUCCGCAAGAAUGGAUAUCCAAAACAGUUAAUUAACCGACUACUGCAGCUGUACACCACAAAAACCCACCCAACUCCGUCGAUCGUCAACAACCGCCAGGCUGACGAUCCACCGCCCAACCCCCCCAGCCGACCAUCGUGCCAGCAAUCACCCACACCCGCUCAACCCCCACCGCCACCAGCCGCCACCACCACCGUCAGAAACACGCACAGUCAACCGCCACCGCAAUCAUCAAUUAGCCCAGCACUGCACAGAUCCCACACACAGACGACAUCCAGAGCCAACAUUGACGAAAUCGAAAUCCACCAAGCAACUAAUCCACCAACUGAACCAUGCACCGAUCAUCAAACAACCACAGGAUCCAUCCAUGACGCCAACAUGCAAGUACACGAAGAUCCACCUGAAACAAGACAAGAAAAAACAUACAGAUCACUUCCCUACAUACCAACUCUAUCACAACGAAUAGCUAAGAUCCUAGCCAAAGACUAUCCAGAUAUCUCCAUAACGACCAGACAGCAACGUACAAUCAAUGAACUUCACACCAUAGUUAAGUACCCUAAAAGAAAGGAAGAAAUUAGUAACGUUAUUUACAAAAUUCCCUGUAAUGACUGCAAUAAUUGCUAUAUAGGUAUGACUAGGAAUAAUUUGCACCGAAGAUUAGCUGGACACAGAUCAAACGUAAACAAACUGGAAAAAAUGAUUAAUGACAACACAAAUACUGACACAGCAACGAAUGCACUAGUUGAAGCGACAACCGCACUCAUACAACACUGCGUAGACCAUAACCAUAGAUUUAACCUAGACCAGACACAGAUUAUAGAUCACAGCAAUAAACAAUCCACACUCCCUUUCCUCGAAAUGUGUCAUAUUACCAACACGGAACACACAGUCAACAAACGAACAGACAUAGACAGGCUAAGUACGACAUAUGCAGGUGUACUACACAGUAUAAAGAAUAUUGACAGACACAACAAAAUUAGAAGCGAAGACCAUUUAGACGAAAGUUAGAUUAUUCCGAUAGGGCAUUACAGCUACCAAAAUGAAAGUUCCGAAUAAGGGGGUAUGCUAAAGAGGGAAAAUUUGCGCCAUUGCCAAAAAACCGUUGAACUGUUUAAGUGAUUUCGAAGUGUAAGCAUGUACCAAAAACGACACAAAACGAGACAGUUAAAGUUAGACAAAACAUUUGACCAAAAACGUUAAUAUUUAUGUAAGUAAUCAGACAAAUUUUGUAAAGACAACUCUGUUUAAAGUCAAGUACCAAUUACAGUUUCCCCCUGAGGAAGACACUAUCCCCGUGUCGAAACGUCGGGUGAAUAAUAAAACUCGUUUUUUGAACCCUAAGACUGCGUAGCCGUUAAUCUAUAGAGUCAAGAUUACAGUCGAUUCCCAACAGCAAAAAAAACUACUGGAGAAACCUGUGCAGGAACUCACAGAAACAAUUCUUGAAAAUUUUCUAGAAGAGUUUCCAAAUAUAUGUCCGAGAAAAUCCCUGAAUAAAUGGAGCAAUACCAGAGUAACCUCUGGAAAAAUUCAAGCAAUCAUUUCCUGGUAAUAUUUCUGGAAAAUAAUCUGUAUUUCUAACGGAAAACUGAAACCAAUUGGAAUGCCACGGAUACAUCCAGACAAGCAAAAAGAUUUAUAAGACAUAGUGCUGAAAAAGCCAGGACCAUACUAAAUUUUUGUUUCUGUAUUAACGAGAUUUUUAGCCCUUGGCUAGUUCAUCUCGAGACCCACGCUUUACUUCCCUUCCGAAGGAAGAACUCACAUUUUGUGAGUUCGUCGAGAGUGAAAUUCGAUCCCAGAUCCUCGGCGUGAUAGUCACGUGCUUUAACCAUCACACCAGAUCCGCUCCACAUACAUACCUGAGGGUAAUAACGGGCCUAAUGACCGGUCACUGCCCCAGUAGGUACCAUCUACACAAGAUUGGAAAAAUCCAAUCAUCUGAGUGUCGUUUUUGCCAUCUUGAAAACGAAACCGCUGAACAUUUACUCUGCAGCUGUGGAGAGCUAUCCAAUCAAAGAUUGUUAAUAUUUGAAAAAGAGUUAUUAGAGCCCUUGGAAGUUUGGCAAAGUGAUCCUAACAGGAUAAUAGACUUUAUAAAACGAGUUGUGCCUAGUUGGGAGCCAGUAUUAUAUCAACCAAUGUCCAUCACAGCUCAAUUGUGACAGGAUAAUCGAUUAGCACCAAAUUAAAUAUGGGUCAUACCACAAUAUUCCUAAAUAAUGGACGCAGUGGUUAAAAAGCUCUAAAGAUGAGGAAGAAAGAACGGAAAACCGUAGAGAAAUUUCUGAAAGAAUCUCCGAAUCUUUGUGAAGAAAAUCUCUUGGAAUUGCAUGUUUUUAAGAAACUUAUGGAGGAAUUUCUGGAAAACCCCCUGGAGAAGUUCCUAGAAGAAUUUAUUGAGAAUUUUCUGUGAAAUCCCAAAGGAUAUUUUCUGAAAAAAAAUAUGACAAUUUUUGAUAUUAGAGGAAUUCCUUCCGAAAUGUUUGAAGUUAAACAUGAAAUAAUACAAGUGUGUACUUACGUAAUCCUUAAAUCAAUUUCCUAUAGAAUCCCUUGAAAAAUCCCAGAAGAAAUUUCGGAAGAAACCUGUGGGCCAGUUUCAAGAUUAAUCUUUAGAGACGUUUUUUGGGAAACUUUAGAAGAAGUGCCAAAAAACAAUCCUAUAGGAAUGCCUGAAAGGAUAUUUAGAAGAAUCCUUGGAGGAAUUUUCAAAGACACCCAUAGACUGGGAUACAUUUCGAAGGGAUACUACGAGGAAUCUUCAGAAGAAUUCUUGCAAAAAUCAUUUGAAAUCAUUUUUCUGUAAACAUUCCAAUAAGAGUUCUCGGGCGGUGUCCCUGAAGGUAAUCCUAGGGAAUUUUCUAGAAAUUUCAAGAAGAAUUCUUGAAAAACUCGUAAAGGGAAUUCCAGUAAGAAUGUCCUUUCCGCGAUCAAUACAAAUUUCGUGAAUGCACGGAAGGAGAACCCGGAAUACUUCUUCAUCAGGCGCAAUAGCGAAUUUCAUUUCCCCAUACUGAAAAAUUAAAGUUUCAAUAUAAAACUUCAAGUCGGUUGCGGACUAUCUUAUCGAUUUUUUAGACUUUUUUUAUUUUGCAGGGCUUUAUUUGGGUCCAUUUGCAACCAUUUGUGACUAUUCGGAAUUGUGUAUUCGAAAUUUUGCCAAAAUCGACACGGCCUAGUGUACCAGUAUAUGGGGCGCUGAAAUUUGGAAACCUUGGAUAACCAGCAGGGAUGCCAUAUAUACAGAUUUUUCCUUAUUAUAAAGACUUUUGGGUUUUCAUACAGAUUUCGUUUUAUAUGAAAUACAGAUUCCACAGCAAAACCCUUUGAUUGCUUCAAAAAUAUUUCCAUGCAUAAUGGUUUGCAAUAUUGGCCAUUAAAGCCCAAAACCGCAUAUUUUACACUAUAAAUUAAGGUACAGCUCAAAAUUGUGACGUGAAGGAAGUCUGAGCCCGGAUACGGAUUCAGCGGCCCAAAAUCUGUCAGAGACCAAGUCAGAGACACAUAAGCUUGCUCUUGAGACAAAACAAACUGUUGCGCUGUGUUUUUGAGUUAGAGGGGCCAUUUUAUUUUUGUAUGGGAUACAUAUAUUUCUCGCAAAUUUUGUAUGGGAUACAGAUUUUUUAAAUGAGUGAUACAGAUUUUUCAUCUGGCAUCUUUGGAACUAGCUCUUAUUUCACCAUGACAGCAUUGUAUAUGGUUUGAUUAUAUACACCGUGUCCAAUAAGUUCUCAUACAAAAUCAAAGUCAAUUCAUUUCACACCUGUAAUCAGGAUCCUCAAGGUAAACACAUUUAUUGAAAGGCUAACUAACAUACAUCUAAUACAGCAUAUGUUUCGGAACCAACUGUCCUUUAUCCUUCUCUGCUGAUUGCUUAUGUGUCGUAAGUCCACUUCAGCUGGCACGCACGUCAUUUCAUUGGUAUUUCGUCGUACUUUAACGAGUAAUGGUUUUAAGUUGAAACAAAUUCGGUUUCUGUCCUCCCCAUUGCUAGUAGCAACUAUGACCAGAGCAUGAGCAUGAGCAUGAGCAUAGAUGACCGUACUAUUCGUAGUUGCUACUCCGUGCUUGACCAGAACAAUCGAAGUUGCACAAGGAAUCAACAGACGGAGCUUGGGAGUAGCUUACCGUCCUCAAUGUGCAUCUUCGAGAAUUCCAAACUUUAUUAGGUCAAUAACGGCGCCGGCCACGUCCUUACGGUCAUCGAGGAAGGAAAGGAAUGUUAUUAUGACGUGCGUUGCUUACUAAAGACCGAGAUCGCCUCUGCGUCUCCACGUCUGUCAUGGAAAGGACUUUUUGUUAGUGGGGAGGGGAAAGGGCGCAUGAUAUGAGUUCACUUUGGUAAGUGGAGUGAUUCAUGCAACCCUAUUAAUAUCAAACCACUUAUUUUCAUUUGGACUAAAACAAAACACAUGCCGACAUCGAAGAUGACGAACCAUUCAGAUAGUUUUCGAAGUGCGAAAAUUAACGAAAGAGAAAAUAAAGUGAUUUGAACCAACGUGGCUUUGGAACUUGGGCCGACACUUGACGUGACGAACAUUUCAAUGUCUGUUGACUAAAAUCGCAAAAAAUGUUGUUUGUUGCAUUUAUCGUAUCAUAAAUCGCCCCGUACGAAGAUGAGCAGUCAAAUAGACGACGACGACGACCGAAUGAAAACGCGACCUGUACACUUUGCCUCCAAAAACUCACUAAAUCGCCCCGUACGAAGAUGAGCAGUCAAAUAGACGACGACGACGACCGGAUGAAAACGCGGCCUGUACACUUUGCCUCCAAAAACUCACUCUCGCAAAAAUCUAGCAAAGCGAGCGCGCGAAACUUUACUGCUGCCGAACUACCGCACACUUCUGACUGCUUGGCGUCCCGUCGUCGGAGCCCCACAGAGGGAAGAGGAAAAAAAAUCGCAAAAAUCUAGCAAAGCGAGCGCGCGAAACUUUGCUGCUGCCGAACUACCGCACACUCCAUUGCUAGUAGCAACUAUGACCAGAAGAGAAAAAAAAUAAGAGAACCUGUAUUGGUAAAAUACGAAGCCGUUUUAUUUUGUACAAAAUAAAACAUAAAUUUAAAAAAAAAAAAACGUCCAUUUACCCGUUUCAAUGAGAUUUGUUGUGUUAAACAAGCAUGGGUGCAUCUUAUCUGGUUGAUUCACACCAUUCUCACUUGUAAAACAUGCUUGUAUUCCUAUUGUGGUAAAUUUUGUCCAAAAUUGGCGUUUUAUGAUGUUUAUCUUUGAUAUAACGGUUAUCUGCAUGAAAAUCAGUCCAAGUUGAGUUUACUUCCAAAUUUCUUACCAUAUCACCACUAAAACUGUAUUAUUUUAGCCUUAGUAUAUCCAUUUGGUACAUAACUUGGGAUACAAACUCAAAAUUUAUCCUUAUGGACUCUAUUUCACUACCGUAGAAUGAAAAACUUUUCGGAUAUUUUUCUUGCGUGCCGGAGAAAACGCACUUCAGAAAACGGAAGUGUACUGUUAGGCUUAUAAAAACAAAUAGAAAAUAAAGUUAUUCUGAAUCGUAUGCUUUAUUUAAUCAGUAUUAUGUGGCCUUUCAAUACACGCAUUUACUUUGAAAAUAUGAAUCAUACAUGUUAAAUAAAAUAAUAUUUUCGGAAUUUGUAUUUUGUAUGAGAACUUAUUGGACACGGUGUAAUAAGGUGAUGUUCCACAAGUAGAUUUUAUACAAUAUGUUCAGAACAUUUACCAUUUAUAUCAAUUGAACCAAUAUCUCGUUUCGAUCUUCAUAUCAA